rnacentral:rRNA from 1 species
CCUACGGGAGGCAGCAGUGGGGAAUAUUGGACAAUGGGCGAAAGCCUGAUCCAGCAAUGCCGCGUGAGUGAUGAAGGCCUUAGGGUUGUAAAGCUCUUUUACCAGGGAUGAUAAUGACAGUACCUGGAGAAUAAGCUCCGGCUAACUCCGUGCCAGCAGCCGCGGUAAUACGGAGGGAGCUAGCGUUGUUCGGAAUUACUGGGCGUAAAGCGUACGUAGGCGGUUAUUCAAGUCAGAGGUGAAAGCCUGGAGCUCAACUCCAGAACUGCCUUUGAAACUAGAUAGCUAGAAUCUUGGAGAGGUGAGUGGAAUUCCGAGUGUAGAGGUGAAAUUCGUAGAUAUUCGGAAGAACACCAGUGGCGAAGGCGACUCACUGGACAAGUAUUGACGCUGAGGUACGAAAGCGUGGGGAGCAAACAGGAUUAGAUACCCUGGUAGUCCGACGACCGUAACGAUAGAUAACUAGACUGUUCGGUCGUCUACGACGCUGUAGUGGCGGCGAGACGUAACG